rnacentral:rRNA from 1 species
GAUGAACGCUAGCGGCAGGCUUAAUACAUGCAAGUCGUGGGGCAGCAUGAAUGUAGCAAUACAUUUGAUGGCGACCGGCAAACGGGUGCGGAACACGUACACAACCUUCCUAUAAGUGGGGAAUAGCCCAGAGAAAUUUGGAUUAAUACCCCGUAACAUAAUGAUAUGGCAUCAUAUUAUUAUUAUAGCUUCGGCGCUUAUUGAUGGGUGUGCGGCUGAUUAGAUAGUUGGCGGGGUAACGGCCCACCAAGUCUACGAUCAGUAGCUGAUGUGAGAGCAUGAUCAGCCACACGGGCACUGAGACACAGGCCCGACUCCUACGGGAGGCAGCAGUAAGGAAUAUUGGUCAAUGUACGCAAGUCUGAACCAGCCAUGCCGCGUGAAGGAUUAAGGUCCUCUGGAUUGUAAACUUCUUUUAUCUGGGACGAAAAAAGGCUUUUCUAAGUCACUUGACGGUACCAGAUGAAUAAGCACCGGCUAACUCCGUGCCAGCCGCCGCAGUAA